GACGAACGCUGGCGGCGUGCUUAGCACAUGCAAGUCGAACGGAAGGGCCCUGCUUUUGUGGGGUGCUCGAGUGGCGAACGGGUGAGUAACACGUGAGUAACCUGCCCUUGACUUUGGGAUAACUUCAGGAAACUGGGGCUAAUACCGGAUAGGAGUUACUGCUGCAUGGUGGGGGUUGGAAAGUUUCGGCGGUUGGGGAUGGACUCGCGGCUUAUCAGCUUGUUGGUGGGGUAGUGGCUUAGCAAGGCUUGGACGGGUAGCCGGCCUGAGAGGGUGACCGGCCACACUGGGACUGAGCUGAGGCCCAGACUACUACGGGAGGCAGCGGUGGGGAAUAUUGCACAAUGGGCGGAAGCCUGAUGCAGCAACGCCGCGUGCGGGAUGACGGCCUUCGGGUUGUAAACCGCUUUCGCCUGUGACGAAGCGUGAGUGACGGUAAUGGGUAAAGAAGCACCGGCUAACUACGUG
rnacentral:rRNA from 1 species